rnacentral:rRNA from 1 species
AUUGAACGCUGGCGGCAUGCUUUACACAUGCAAGUCGAACGGCAGCACGGACUUCGGUCUGGUGGCGAGUGGCGAACGGGUGAGUAAUACAUCGGAACGUACCCAGUAAUGGGGGAUAACUAUCCGAAAGGAUAGCUAAUACCGCAUACGCCCUACGGGGGAAAGAGGGGGAUCGCAAGACCUCUUGUUAUUGGAGCGGCCGAUGGCUGAUUAGCUAGUUGGUGAGGUAAAGGCUCACCAAGGCGACGAUCAGUAGCGGGUCUUAGAGGACGAUCCGCCACACUGGAACUGAGACACGGUCCAGCCUCCUACGGGAGGCAGCAGUGGGGAAUCUUGGACAAUGGGCGCAAGCCUGAUCCAGCAAUGCCGCGUGCGUGAAGAAGGCCUUCGGGUUGUAAAGCGCUUUUGUCAGGGAGCAAAUCCUUGUGGCUAAUACCCACCGGGGAUGAGAGUACCUGAAGAAUAAGGACCGGCUAACUACGUGCCAGCCGCCGCCGUAA